UACGAAGGGGACUAGCGUUGUUCGGAAUUACUGGGCGUAAAGCGCGCGCAGGCGGCCUUUCAAGUCAGGGGUGAAAGCCCGGAGCUCAACUCCGGAAUUGCCUUUGAAACUGUCAGGCUCGAGUACGGGAGAGGUGAGUGGAAUUCCCAGUGUAGAGGUGAAAUUCGUAGAUAUUGGGAAGAACACCGGUGGCGAAGGCGGCUCACUGGCCCGUUUCUGACGCUCAGGCGCGACAGCGUGGGGAUCAAACAGG
rnacentral:rRNA from 1 species